rnacentral:rRNA from 1 species
AGAGUUUGAUCCUGGCUCAGGAUGAACGCUGGCGGCGUGCUUAACACAUGCAAGUCGAACGAGCCUUCGGGCUAGUGGCGGACGGGUGAGUAACGCGUGAGAAUCUGCCCUCAGGAGGGGGAUAACGGCUGGAAACGGCCGCUAAUACCCCAUAUGCCGCGAGGUGAAACGAGUUUUCGCCUGAGGAUGAGCUCGCGUCUGAUUAGCUAGUUGGUGGGGUAAGAGCCUACCAAGGCAUCGAUCAGUAGCUGGUCUGAGAGGAUGAUCAGCCACACUGGGACUGAGACACGGCCCAGACUCCUACGGGAGGCAGCAGUGGGGAAUUUUCCGCAAUGGGCGCAAGCCUGACGGAGCAACGCCGCGUGAGGGAUGAAGGCCUCUGGGCUGUAAACCUCUUUUCUCAAGGAAGAAGAACUGACGGUACUUGAGGAAUAAGCCACGGCUAAUUCCGUGCCAGCAGCCGCGGUAAUACGGGAGUGGCAAGCGUUAUCCGGAAUUAUUGGGCGUAAAGCGUCCGCAGGCGGUCUUGAAAGUCUGUUGUUAAAGCGUGGAGCUCAACUCCAUUUCAGCAAUGGAAACUAGAAGACUAGAGUGUGGUAGGGGCAGAGGGAAUUCCCGGUGUAGCGGUGAAAUGCGUAGAUAUCGGGAAGAACACCAGUGGCGAAGGCGCUCUGCUGGGCCAUAACUGACGCUCAUGGACGAAAGCCAGGGGAGCGAAAGGGAUUAGAUACCCCUGUAGUCCUGGCCGUAAACGAUGAACACUAGGUGUCGGGGGAAUCGACCCCCUCGGUGUCGUAGCUAACGCGUUAAGUGUUCCGCCUGGGGAGUACGCACGCAAGUGUGAAACUCAAAGGAAUUGACGGGGGCCCGCACAAGCGGUGGAGUAUGUGGUUUAAUUCGAUGCAACGCGAAGAACCUUACCAGGGUUGACAUCCUGCGAAUCUUUUGGAAACAGAAGAGUGCCUUCGGGAGCGCAGAGACAGGUGGUGCAUGGCUGUCGUCAGCUCGUGUCGUGAGAUGUUGGGUUAAGUCCCGCAACGAGCGCAACCCACGUCUUUAGUUGCCAGCAUUAAGUUGGGCACUCUAGAGAGACCGCCGGUGAUAAACCGGAGGAAGGUGUGGAUGACGUCAAGUCAUCAUGCCCCUUACAUCCUGGGCUACACACGUACUACAAUGCUACGGACAAAGGGCAGCAAACUCGCGAGAGCUAGCAAAUCCCAUAAACCGUGGCUCAGUUCAGAUCGUAGGCUGCAACUCGCCUACGUGAAGGAGGAAUCGCUAGUAAUCGCAGGUCAGCAUACUGCGGUGAAUACGUUCCCGGGCCUUGUACACACCGCCCGUCACACCAUGGAAGUUGGCCAUGCCCGAAGUCGUUACUCCAACCCUUGUGGAGGAGGACGCCGAAGGUGGGGCUGAUGACUGGGGUGAAGUCGUAACAAGGUA